rnacentral:ncRNA from 2 species
AAAAUAUUUUUGCUCCGAACCGCCUCGCCUAAGUUCAGCGAUAUGGUGAACGGUCAAUAGGGUGUAAUUGGAAACGAUUAUGCCUUCCUUUUGAAAAGGAGCACAGCUUAUUAAGGU